rnacentral:rRNA from 1 species
UACGAAGGGGGCGAGCGUUGUUCGGAUUUACUGGGCGUAAAGGGCGCGCAGGCGGCUCAUUUUGUCAGGCGUGAAAGCCCCGGGCUUAACCUGGGAACUGCGUUUGAUACGGAUGGGCUAGAGUUCGGGAGAGGAGAGUGGAAUUCCCAGUGUAGAGGUGAAAUUCGUAGAUAUUCGCAAGAACACCAGUGGCGAAGGCGGCUCACUGGCCCGAUACUGACGCUGAGGCACGAAAGCGUGGGGAGCAAACAGG